rnacentral:rRNA from 1 species
AAGUGGAUUAGUGGCGCACGGGUGAGUAAUGCAUAGGUUAUGUGCCCUUUAGUCUGGGAUAGCCACUGGAAACGGUGAUUAAUACUGGAUACUCCCUACGGGGGAAAGUUUUUCGCUAAAGGAUCAGCCUAUGUCCUAUCAGCUUGUUGGUGAGGUAAUGGCUCACCAAGGCUACGACGGGUAUCCGGCCUGAGAGGGUGAUCGGACACACUGGAACUGAGACACGGUCCAGACUCCUACGGGAGGCAGCAGUAGGGAAUAUUGCUCAAUGGGGGAAACCCUGAAGCAGCAACGCCGCGUGGAGGAUGAAGGUUUUAGGAUUGUAAACUCCUUUUGUAAAGAGAAGAUU